UCCUUAGAUGUCCGGGGCCGCACGCGCGCUACACUGAAGGAAUCAGCGUGGCUUUCUCCCUGACCCGAAAGGGUUGGGAAACCCGUUGAAUCUCCUUCGUGAUAGGGAUUGGGGCUUGAAAUUGUUCCCCAUGAACGAGGAAUUCCCAGUAAGCGCGAGUCAUAAGCUCGCGUUGAUUACGUCCCUGCCCUUUGUACACACCGCCCGUCGCUACUACCGAUUGAACGGUUUAGUGAGGGCCUCGGAUUGGUCUCGGCCCGCUCUUCACCGGGCGGCGCCGUUGGUCGAGAAGACGCUCGAACUUGAUCGUUUAGAGGAAGUAAAAGUCGUAACA
rnacentral:rRNA from 1 species